rnacentral:tRNA from 1 species
GCCUGGCUGGCUCAGUUGGUAGAGCAAGUGACUCUAGAUCUCAGGGUUGUGAGUUCAAACCCCGCGUUAGUUA